GAGAUUGCAUAUCUCUUCACGUUCUCUCUUCCUUCACAAAUACAAAUAUCCUCUUUCUCUUUCAACCACACUACUCUUCUUCUUAAACCCAAAACGAACUGUUCCCUUUCACCAUACAGAGAAAUUCCUAAUGAAAUCGCAAGCUACAAGACAGAACCAUGGAGACAAAGAAAACCCACAACCAUAAAUAAAGCAAAACCAAACCUGAUGAAAGUGUUGAUCGACUCUAACAUAGGGUGGCGCAGCGGAUCCGGGAUUGGCGGUGGUGCGGUGUGCAGGAGCAAAUCAGGGGUUUCAUUGGAGGCAUUUUGA